AAUGUAUGACGCCGUUGACUUUUUAUCCAACGUUUGACCAUUUGUCUUAUUUAAAAAAUUUAUGUAAUCAUUAUUUAUUUUAUUGUGAAUUGAUUCGUCAUCAAAUGUUCUUUAAGCAUGACAUAAAUAUUUUCAUAUUUGCACACAAAAUUUAAAUAAAACGAAUGGUCAAAUGUUAGUCAAAAAAAUCAACGGCGUCAUACAUU
rfam:Oryza nivara chromosome 3, whole genome shotgun sequence.